CAUUCUACAAAAAUUUAUAUUAUAAAUCAUAAUCCAAUUGUAACAUACUCGAGUACAUAUAUACAUAUAUAUAUAUAUCAAUGAACGGUCAAUGUUCUUCCCAUAACUCGACGAAGAAAAAUAAGCAAAACAUUUUAAAAUUCCAUUCGUUAAAUCUCUAUCCUAUUUAUAAAACACGUCAUCUAAAAUUUAAUACUUAACACUUUCAUCUUUUAACAUUCUAGCAAAAUUUAUAUUAUAAAUCGUAACACAUUUGUACCUAAUAAACACUCAAUAUUCUUCCUAGAGCUCAGCUCGACGAAGAAAAAUAACAAAGACAUUUUAAAUUAUUCCAUCAUCACUAAAACUUCCAUAACAAUUUCUUCCAUCUCUUAACAUUCUACAAAAAUAUACAUCAUAAAUCAUAAUCCAACUGCAACAUACGUAUCCGAUAAACAGUUAUAUUACAACUCAUAAUCCAAUUGUAAUAUAUACAUAUCCCAUUAUACGUAUCAAUAAACGAUCAAUAUUCUUCAGAACGUAUCUAAACGAAGAAAAACGUGGAAAACAAGGCAUUUUAAAAUUCCACUCCCGCUGUUGGAAGCGAGUGGCAGUGGGCAUGCUUCGCGCGCGGAUGGAAGCGUGCAGGAGCGCGCGAUAUUCGUGACACAUCCCACGUGCUGGCAUUCCCUCAUCCUAUCCACCGGAUCCCACGGGAUUUAUUUUAGGAUCGGCACGACGGGAGCGUGGGUUUUCACAAGCGGCAGCGGCGAAAGCGAGGCCCAGUGAAUCCGCGGCUGGCUCGUAAGCGAGUCGCACGAGGAUCGAGGGGCGCGCGAUGUCUCAACUUCGAUAAUCGAUCGAUCGAACGAUCCAACGAACGAACGAACGUGCCUUAUUCUCGCGUCUCCAGGACGAUUUUCAAUUCUUUCCACACUGUUCGAAUUCGUUAGGGUUCGUUUUAAGAUUUUUCGCUCUUUUGGGAGGGAAAAAUGGUUCAUGUAAUUUAAUUACAUCACAUAUUUUUCGUGAAUUUUUGAUUUAGUUUUUGGUAAGGAGAAUUUGUAAGAAGAAAAGUCGUGUUUUGAAAUUUUUUUUUAAACAGUAUGGAGGGAAUCAGAUAAGUUAUAUUUUGUCGUUUUUAAAUUGGAAAUUUAUGCAUCUUGAGACGUAUCAAAGCGCUUGUUUUUGAUGUUUACUUGAUGUUAUAAAUGGAAAAUCGACAAAGACGGGCUUCCUCAAAGCUUCCUCUAAACUAAAAUAUCUUCGUGUUCUAUUCAAUAGGCGAUAGAUGUGAACUAGGUCAGAAUUACGUUUCAACGUUUCUAGGUCUAUCUAUUCUCGAAUUAUUCUAAAUAUGGCAUAGCGAAACGCUCCUGGAGCCCAGUGAAAAUGAAAAAGUAGUUGACAGCCUAUUCCUUCCGGUCGUAUUUCUUCAAAGCGUUGAAUAAUAUACACGCAAUAACGAUUGACACGUAUUCCCCGUUGUGUGUAUUGUAAAAUCUGUAUUCAUAGACAAGAAACAUAUUUUAGUUUAGCUUUGUUCUUGGCAAUGAACGUGUUGACGACCGUUCCCUAUUUUCAUCAAAAUAAUCUUAUGUUCGAUACCACAACUGUUAAAAUUUCAUUCCAAUAAAUAAAAUUAUACUUAAACGAUCUUUCAUCGUAUAUCACACUAAAUAUAUACUUUUAGAAAUUUACAUUCAAAUAAAGAGAGAUAGAGUGAAAUUUUAGAAUCUUCAAGAAUAUGUCAAUCAUUGUCCAUUUCCGUAACUCUAUUCUUAAAUUAAUUUCGUAACACUCUGUACCUCUAUUCCUCUCCAUUCCUCUCAAAACUAGUCUCCACUCUCACUCGUCGAUCGACAACUCCCCUGACGUUCACCUGGCCGUUUGUCAAGAAUCGACGAGCGUAUUGGCCCAAGCGACGAGUUUUUCAUUUGGACCGACUACAUCUUCCAAGAUAUUUCGAGACGCGUGUCGCUCUCGAUGGAAACCGGGACACCUUCAUCCUCCUCUUUACUUUAGUUCAAACUGCCACGACCAAACAUCGCGAGAAGGAAAUCUUCUGAAAAACUCCUCCCCCACUUUUCGUUUAUUGAUCUUCCACCAAGAUCGGCCUCCUGUUGUUCCUCCUCGUAAUAUUUGGUUAGCGAAUCGGGCCUUCCAUUCCUGGUAGCCUGCCUGCGUGGGCAGAGAUGGACGAGAAUUUCGAAAACAAGUUAAAUAAUAAAGUCGAUAGAUAAACAACUACGGAUAAGUAUUAUUCGAGUAAUUUUAUUAAAAAAAAAUGUAAUUAAAUUAACACACGCGGUGAAAAUAAAAAUAGUGGUUACAUUUCUAUCUCAACAAUCGAUAAGAGGAAAAAUAUACGAAGUCUGUUAACUUAACUUUGGUGUUGAACUCGUAACUUUACUCCAGAUUAUUUAACCGAUUAAUUCCUCAACCUGUUAGCGCCUGUGGAACGAGAGAGAGAGAAAGAGAGAUUUUUGAUGGGCAGCCCCGCUGGAAAAAUCUCGAUGGCGAGCGCGAUUUCACGCGCGAUUAUUUAUAACCGGGUGCUUGUAAACACGCGUACUUUGGCGUCGGCCGCGAACCGCCCGCCAUUUCUUCGCCAGUUACCGAUGCACAAACGAACGGUGAACGUUGCUCCACCGUUUCUUGCCAGACGUCUAUUUCGAUGGCAGCUCGCUGGUGUAGCGGUCACUUCGAUUCGCUCGUUCGAUCGAAUUCUCCUCGAAUUCUCAGCUGGAUCAGUGAAAGAAUCGUAGCUGGCUUUUCGUUCGCGAGUGGUUUCGUGAUAGUGGUGAAAAAUUGAGAAGUGAAUCGUACUGUGCGUGGAACGAUUGAAUUGGAAAAAUAAAUUCAUUAUACGGAAGAAUACCGACUGACUAUCGUUUUCUUAAAUUUCACGAUUUCAAAUUAUCGAUAUCAAAAAUUUCGAAUCUAACAGGAGAGGAAUAAUAAAAUUAGAAUCUUCGAAAAAGAGAAAAGAAUUUUUUUUAAAUGUUAAAUCGAAAAGAAAUUGUUUAACGAGAAAGAGAAUUUCUUUCUGUCAUGUCUGUCCGCCAUUAGACCGUCGCACCGGCCCAUAUUAUUCUCACGUAGAGUCGCGUUACCCGUUUUUUCAAGAGGCGAGACAAGCAUCUCUCCAUACGUUUGGAACCUCGUCCCGGUGGAAAAAGAACUGGGCGGGCGUGGAUGCUAAACGCGAGCAUAGCGAAGCGGAACACGGUUGGGGAGAUGGUACGAGACCGUUUCGGAAAAAGAUCCCAAAGCCAAACUCGAUUCUGACAGAUUGCCAAGCGUCUGAGGUCGCGGUUACGUAAGGGAGACGUUAACUCGUUCGAUCCACGAUUCGAACAAUAAUAAUCCACGGAGCGGAUAUCAUGCUGGCCGUGUCUGCAAGAGAUUCGAGCAAGUUGGAUAAGCGGAUCUGUGGAACGAGCGCAAACGGUGGACGGAUAUGGAACACGGUGCGUGCGAUGAUUCGAUUCUUGUGACACGUUGGUGGUCGAUCGAUGAUUAGUCGUGAUGGGAUUAAGUAAACCGUGUGGACUCACUGAUUUUUCCACCAGUGGAAAAUUAUUGUUUAUUUUUAUUUCUUUUCUUCGUUUCAACGUUGGAAGAAACGCGUUUAUUUUAACUGGAAGGGAAAAGGGGGAAAUGUUGGAAAGCGAAGAAAGAAGCGAAUGAGAAUAUUUGGAUAUUUUUUUCUCGGGGAAAUAUUUUUGCUUUGAGUGAAAAUAUUUUCUCGUUUUAUAUUUGCAAGUUUGGAUUUAUUUCAAAGUAAUUUAAAGGAAAGGGAAAGUGGAGUAAGAAUAUUUCUCGAAACUUGGAAACUUUGGUUUUUAUAAAAUGGGAAAAUAAACGUAAAGUAAUUUGAAAGUGAAAAAUUGGAAAAGUGAAUACAUUGGAAUACGUUUAUUGAAAAUUGCGAAGUAAAUGUUUACUUAUAAUUUAGAAAUAAAUAUAUUUUUUAAAGUGGCCGAUAAAGUGAACGACUUGAUAUUAAAAUAAUUAGAGUGAGAAAAGAAAUAAAGUGAAUAGUAAAUUGAAUGAAUUUCGAUUAUUCGUUUGAGAGGAUUAACAAUAAUUUUGAAAUUUUCAUGGCAACAAAUAAAAUCGUGUUAAAAUCGUACGAGAACAAAACAUUUUCUUAAUAUAUUUUUCGAUAUUUCCAAAUCGACACGAAUAAAUUUCUAAAUGAAUAUCUCAAUGUUGAUAUUCGCUUUUUGUGAAAGUGCUUUCGCCUCUUUCACGCGUGUUUUCAAAUCAAAGCUAGCAUUUGAGCAGAAUGGCGAAGAAAAUUCUUAUCAUCCUGAAGAAACUUUAAAUCAUUCAAGAUCGCGUACACUUUAAGAUAAAUUUAAUCACGCGCAAUAUAAACUUAAAUAAAAAGUUUUACUUUCCAAAAUUCAGAAUCAUAUAUAUCUUUGUACAAAUACAACGAGAAAACUAUAUUUCCUCAAAAAUAUUAACCAAAGAAUCGCGCAUUCCUCCCAAAUUAUUUCCAAGAAGAAAAUCGAAAACCAGUUUCAUCGAAAAACGAACGCAUCGACCUCCUCUUACUCGACAACAAUUUAUAUACACAAAAUAACGCGUGUAUGUAAGAUCGAGCUUAAAACCUCGACCAAAUCGAACGAUCGAACGAAUGAUAAAAACUAAUUAAAUUUCGACGAUCACCUCCCUUUCUAAAAAUCACCCGAUAACGCUCAUUCACGAGUAAUAAAUUGAUCCAGAAAAAAAGAAAAAACCGAACUUUCCGCCGAAGUCGUUAAGAAUUCGCGAAAAAGGGGAUUGGAAGGUGAUCGAACCUUUGAAAGAAGAAGAAGAAAGAGGAGGAGGAGGGCUCGAGAACCGGAAACAUGAAGAACGGUCACCCGAUUAUAACAGCGACGUCUUCGUCGAGCCUGGCCAAUCCGGAUUCCACGUCCUCCAACGAGCCUGCGGAACCGAUCAUCAGAUUGAAGCUGGACAAACCGCUCAACUGGGAGUGGGAGCUGACCACGUCCGCGGACACGCUUCCUGUCAUCCAGCUGUUGGACAAGGACGGCCGCGUUCUGGUCGAGACCAGUGGGCGCACGGCCCAGCGGGCCAGGGGCUCGUUUCGAGAGGGCCUCAAGUCGCACGAGGAGUUCCAGACGAGCGAGGGACACUCCGUUUCCUCCUCCUUCGCGUCCUCCUCCGCGUCCAGCCCUCCGCCACCGGCGGUUCCCGUGCAAGGGAACAGGAACGUGGACGGGUUCAGCAGCAAGUUUGGCACGUUUCAGCUGGGUUACAAGCCCAGGAAGUCGAGGAGCGAGGUGUCGAUGAAGGAGAGGGAUAAGAAAAGAGGGAGGAGGAAGGAUCGAAGGGCCGAGGAGGAGUGGAAAGAUUCGAGGAAGUAUUCCAUGGGCGAUUACCUGAGGCAACAGAUCAUAGACGACCUCGGAAGGAAGGAGACGUUGGGGAAGAGCGCCGAGGAGAUCGCGCGAGAGAGGUGCAAGAAGGUGAAGGCCUACCUCAGGAGUCGAAGCGAGACGCUGCCGAGCCUGGUCCACGUGGAGGAGGAAGAGGAGGCAGAGGAAUACCCGAGGAAGGGAGAGGCGAUGGGCAACGCGCAAAUUUUGAGGGAGGACGAGGAAGCUGAGAGCGAGUGGAGGAAGAAGAAGAAGGAGGAAUUGGAAAGGGUAAGGUCGUUCCUACGAAGGAAGAUACAGCAGAGGAUGGAGUUGGAACGAUCCGGGAGCGACGGGAGAUCGACGGGUAUUCAGAAGAGGUACUCGUAUUACGGCGAGGCGGAGGAGCAGCGGGGUUAUCGCACUCGAAAGGUGCAGAGCGAGACGAGCGUGAUCAGGUUCGAUCGGGAAACUGUUGAGAGGGAUAGGCAGAAGGGGAGGCAGAUGGAGAGAUGGUCGAGGGCCGUGGACAACAACAGGUCUCGUUCCAGGGAUAAGUCCGGGCAAAAAGCGUACGGACGUUCGAGGAGCGAGACGAUCCUCGAGGAAGCGGGCGGCGGUCGAGAGCGGAGCUUGGACGCGAGGGAUUCGGCCGAGAAACGGAAGCUGUACCGAAAGACGAGGAGCGACGCGUUGGUGGGCCAGAUGGGCGGCAGGAGCGCGGACUCCUCGGAGCAGGAGGGGGACCGUUGGAGGGGGAGGAGGCAGGACACGGCGGUGAUGGACGAGAGCUGGCGCGAGUACAAGGAGAGGAAGAAGCAGGAGAGGUUGCGUCGCGACGCGGAGGGGAAGGAAGAGGAUUUCAGGUGGAAGGACGCUCCGUGCACUUUCCACGAUUGCAAGAUCUGUCAGAAUCUGAGGGAUUGCGUCGUGAAUCCCGUGCGGGGGGAGAAGCAGACGAGAAGUCCCGGGAGCCCAGAGAACGGCGGGAGGGAUCGGGACGAUUCUUCCGAGCUUCUGAUUUCUCUGAACGAUUCCGCGAACGAGGAAGGCCGAGCGAGUACCAGUCUUAGGGGGGAGGUCGAUGCCUCCCCGAAGAAUCACGUACUCGUCAAGGUUCGAGCGAGGAGUCGCGAGGCUCACUCGUCUAACGUGAAUUCGCCUGAUUGCGGUUACAAUACGAUUCCUAAGAAGACUUUUAACGAUUACAAGGAAUUGUACGCGAGAUCGAACGUGAAGAAGAGCGACACGUUUAAGAUCGUGGAUGGAAGCGAGGGGAUCGAGGAAGGUGUUGAGGAGGAGGAGGAGGAGGAGGAGGAAGAGGAGGAGGGAGGGGUCGUUGGGGAUGGAUCGAUCGACAGUUUCGAUUAUUCGAACGGCGAGGGUGUGUUGACGAACAAGUCGAACGAGGAUAUCGCGAGGGAUUACUUUAAAAGGGUGUACGAGUUGUUGAAGAGACGGCAGAAGGAGGCGAGGAGGGUCGCGGAGAAGCAGGAAGUGGCGGGCCGCGAUGAUUCGUCGUCGUCUAAUUACGCGGAGAAGGUGCAAAAGAGGAGACUGCGGAGAAAGAAAAAGGAACGGGGCACGCAAGGUAAUAUUUCAACUAUAACCGAGCCGCAAAAUAUAACAUCCUAUCGCGAGGAAGUCGUAACCGUGCCUCCGGCGAGCGGAGGUCAGGACAGUUGGAAAGUGCAGAGGCUUUCGUUGGGCGGGGAAUCGGCGAGCAAUCGUCGUAAAGGCUGCCGUCCCCAAUUGCAGGCGGGGAGCAAGCGCGCAAGGCCGCCACCGCCGAUACCCGGCUUAUCCUGCAAGGUCAAUGCCAAGGACGUGGACGGGUACCCCGACCACUGGCCGAACAAGGAGAACACGCCCGGAAAUGGCGUGAACAACGUCGAGGGGACGAACACCGAGGCGCAGCUCGAGAAGAACGGCUCGAACAUGGGCUCGAAUCUGAGCAGGCACAACGGCAAGGGCCUCACGGGCCGGAGGACCCAGUCGUCCGGCAAUUUGUGCGAUCCGAAAGGGAAGUUGAACAGCAUGGGGAAGAUAUUGGUCCCGUGUUCCAGCGCGCAGAGAGAGAGAUACAAAUUCUGUGGCUCGUUGCCCAAUCAUCUGGACGACAAGGACGCGUUGGACGACGAUCCGAAGGAAAAUAAUAACGUAAUGACGGAUACGAUCAGCGGGAAUCUUGGUGGAACGUUGCCGCACAAGAAACGAUCAUUGGGCGUGCAUUUCUCAGACGGGGGGCCAACUGGGACUCUGGACCUCGUGAAACAUCGAUCCCAAGAUUCUUUGGAUGAGAACGAUCCUUGGAGGUAUCAGCAGAGCGAUCUCGAUCUGGUGCGAUGCCGUCACGGUAAUUUCGACUCGGUGAGAAGAAAUCGGAAUGCCGAGACGUUGGCUGGCGACUCGGCGAGAAGGUAUACGCGAGGCACGUCCCUUGAGGACAGAUGUCACCGAAAUUCGGAGCUCGAUCUGGUGGGCACGCUGCCGAAACGGAAGCAGGACAGCAGAAACGGUGGUGGGAAGGGCGUGGAAACGAACUCUUCGUCCUCCCAACCGUGCGUCCCAGACGCGGCCGACAACGAUCUGCUGAUGCAGAUCGUGCACAAGCCCGAUUGCGAGUUGGUCAGGCAUCGGCAGCAGCUCGGCAAGUGCAUCGAUUUGAAGUUGAGCAAACUGGCCGGCGGGGAACCGCAGGAUCAAGGUUACGCCUCGGAACGGUCCCCGGAGGACGAGCAUCCUCCCUCUUUGCCGGGCCAACCCUUCCCAAAUAUCACGGCUGAGAGCACGUUCCGAGUGACACUGCAGAAAAGCAGCCGAGGACUUGGUUUAAGCGUUUCCGGCGGUGGGACAGCCGGCCCUGUUAGGGUAAAAAGACUGUUUCCUCAACAACCUGCAGCCUUAUCCAACAAACUUCAACCUGGCGAUAUACUUUUGGCUGCCAAUGGAAUUCCUUUAACCGGUCUCACUAACUAUGAGGCCCUCGAAGUUCUACGAACGACACCCAGUACUGUCGAGUUAGUGGUGUCCCGACUUCCGGGUGAUAUGAGUGUCACACCACCGGGUGCACCACCUCCACCCCCAGCAAGGCGUGAACCACCACCACCAUUGCGAAUACUAAAUCCUCUGCCACCCCUUCAAAUCGAACCCUGCGGCGAAUUCGAUAUAGAAAUGACAAAGGUCGGUGGCAGUCUGGGCUUCACUCUGAGGAAGGCGGAUAGCAGCGCGCUCGGCCACUACGUGAGGGCGUUAGUACGUGAGCCGGCGUUGAGCGACGGACGAAUUCGGCCCGGGGACAAAAUAGUCGCCGUUGACGGUGCACCGUUGUCGCCGAUGAGCCACGAAGAGGCUGUCCAACUGCUGCGGCAAUGUGGGCCGACCGUGAGAUUACGAUUGUACAGGGAUCUCGCGCAAACUCCUGUCUCCGCUCUUUCUCCGACCGAGCCCGAUCACCCACUCCGUCCACCACGUACCAGUUUGAGACAAGAGGCUGUAGACAUGCUGUGCGAUCUGGCCGUUCGAAAAUUAUCACCGGGUACGUCGAGCGGGUCUAGUUGCAAACAAUCAUCCGGAACAUCUUGCAACUCUCCGAGAAGACUACGUCGUCUUGCUACGCGUACCCCUACUGCCGAUGAAGAAACUGUGGAGAAGCAUCCGAGCGUGCACACGACAUCGACGGCCAGCCAGGCGGAGACAUCCGAUUCCGACCAGUGCUCGAUCAGGACUCAGAUAACGAAUUCCCAGCCAAACACACCUGGAACUGACAUAAUCGAUCCGCCACCCCUGUACGACGUCUGCGACUCGAGCGAUUCCUCCAAGACACCGGCCCGACCGAGUUUCCUCGACUUGUCCGCGCCCCAGGGGAAGCCUCAUUUUCAGUUCUGCAACCUGGACUCCGAUCUCGAUUAUCCCGGUGUCGGGGACGCGAUCAUCAUCGAGGACGAGCUACGUACGAGCACCACGUCGGACGAUUACGAGAGGAUCGAGCCGUCCUCCGUGUUGUCAAGCAACGAGCACGACAACGAUCUACCCUCGGAGCCGGCCUCGAUGCCACCGGUACUCUCCUCGACGAGCAGCUCGAGCAACGCAGCGUUCAGUUACAAGAACCCCGCUUAUCAAAGCGCCAAUCCAGCCUGCGGCGCCGGCAUAGAUACCUCUGUGACGAAAAACAAGGCCACCCACUCGAGCGACCAGGACAUACCAGGUUCAUCGAUAUUUCACUAGUCGACGAGCCGUGAAUUUCUAGUAGCUUCACUUUCACGUGAUGCCUUGAAUCCUGGAUCACAGGGGAUCACUGAAAUUGCGGAGAUAGAGUCUGUAUCAGGAAUUGUUUAGGCGUAAGAUGAAUAUUGUGGGUGAAAUUUCGGGCCAGGAUACAAGGCAUUGUUUGUAGGAGGAUUUUAUUUUUCGGGAGGGAGUUAAUUUUGUUACAGUUGGCUGGAAGAAAGGGUGUUACGCUUUGGUUGAUUAAGGGGAAUUUGUUUCGGGUUCUUUUGUUAAAAGGAUUAGGGUUAGAAUCGAUUCGAUUGGAAUGGUGAUAUUGAUUUCUGGGAUAUUUGAUUGAUUUGGUUCGCUAAGUUUAAAUUGACACGAGAGAAAGGAUUGAUGGGGGAUGAAUAUUUUCUGUGAGAAACAAGAGAAACAAAUAGUUUUUCUUCAUAUCAACCAUAUAACGGUCCAUUAAAUUUUCAAAUAAUUUUUCUCUGAAACAAAUUAUUAUGUGAAAAAAAUUUAUUCCGUAUUUUUAAUUUUUUAAGAUUAAUGAAUGAUACAUUUUACUAGCGUUAAAUGAAAAAUUCUUUGUUACUUAAAUAUUGAUAUAAAUUUUUUAAUACUUGUAACACGCAUUAAUUUUUUCUUACUGUAUUUUUAAUUACACUUGUACGAAUUUAUUUCAUAACAUUUACUUUACAAAUAACAAUAACUUGAUUAAAUUUAAUAUUUAAGAAUAUCAAAUUUGAAAAUAUCAAAAUAUCAAAAUUAUAAGAAUGAAGAAAAUAAAUCAUGCUACUUUAAACAGAAAAAAAAAUAUCAACGUGAAACGUUUCAUUAUCUUAUCUUUUUGUAGCGUGCGAACAUGUAUAUCUUGUUACCAUUAUACAUAUCGAGUUGUCACCUUGAUUUUGCGUACAACAGUCAGUUAAGUUUCUUGUACACGACCAGUUCAUUAAAUAAUAUAUAAUAUCUUUAUUCAAUCUUAAAAUAUAUCGCAAUAAAAUAAAUUGUAUUAUCUAAUCUUUUUUUAUCGUAUAUAUAAAUAAUCAAUAACUCUUAAUACAUACAUUAUAACUCUACUCGUGAUAAAAACUGACGUGAAAUUGUAUCAUAUAUUAUAAUUAAACGGAAAAUCUUAGGAGCAGAAGAUCCGGGUGGUAGCAAGGGUUUGUUGAAGUGGAAAGGCGUGAUGUUCGCCCCAGAUGAUGGAAUAGAUAAAACUAAAAA